UAGAUGGAUCCGCGCUGCAUUAUGUAGUUGGUAAGGUAACGGCUUACCAAGGCAACGAUGCAUAACCGACCUGAGAGGGUGAUCGGCCACACUGGAACUGAGACACGGUCCAGACUCCUACGGGAGGCAACAGUAGGGAAUCUUCCGCAAUGGGCGAAAGCCUGACGGAGCAACGCCGCGUGAGUGAUGAAGGUCUUCGGAUCGUAAAACUCUGUUAUUAGGGAAGAACAUAUGUGUAAGUAACUGUGCACAUCUUGACGGUACCUAAUCAGAAAGCCACGGCUAACUACGUGCCAGCAGCCGCGGUAAUACGUAGGUGGCAAGCGUUAUCCGGAAUUAUUGGGCGUAAAGCGCGCGUAGGCGGUUUUUUAAGUCUGAUGUGAAAGCCCACGGCUCAACCGUGGAGGGUCAUUGGAAACUGGAAAACUUGAGUGCAGAAGAGGAAAGUGGAAUUCCAUGUGUAGCGGUGAAAUGCGCAGAGAUAUGGAGGAACACCAGUGGCGAACGCGACUUUCUGGUCUGUAACUGACGCUGAUGUGCGAAAGCGUGAGGAUCACACACGAUUAGAUACUCUGGUAGUCCACGCCGUAUACGAUGAGUGCUAACUGUUAUGGGGGUUUCCUCCCCCUAAUGCUGCAGCUAACGCAUUAAUCACUCGGCCUGCCGAGUACGACCGCACG
rnacentral:rRNA from 1 species